GAACCGGACAAACGUUAUUCGGAAUUAUUGGGCUUAAAGGGUGCGUAGGCGGCUUGGCAAGUUGGAUGUGAAAUCCCUCGGGCUCAACCGAGGAACUGCGUCCAAAACUGCCAGGCUCGAGGGAGACAGAGGCGAGUGGAACUUGCGGUGGAGCGGUGAAAUGCGUUGAUAUCGCAAGGAACACCGGUGGCGAAAGCGGCUCGCUGGGUCUCUUCUGACGCUGAGGCACGAAAGCUAGGGGAGCGAACGGGAUUAGAUACCCCGGUAGUCCUAGCUGUAAACGAUGAGCACUUGGUUGGAGGAAUUUCACUGUUCUUCCGGCCGUAGCGAAAGUGUUAAGUGCUCCGCCUGGGGAGUAUGGUCGCAAGGUUG
rnacentral:rRNA from 1 species